rnacentral:rRNA from 1 species
UACAGAGGGUGCGAGCGUUAAUCGGAAUUACUGGGCGUAAAGCGUGCGUAGACGGUUACGUAAGUCGGGUGUGAAAGCCCCGGGCUCAACCUGGGAAUUGCAUUCGGGACUGCGAAGCUAGGGUGCGGAAGAGGGAAGCGGAAUUUCCGGUGUAGCGGUGAAAUGCGUAGAUAUCGGAAGGAACAUCAGUGGCGAAAGCGGCUUCCUGGUCCAGCACCGACGUUCAGGCACGAAAGCGUGGGGAGCAAACAGG